UACGUAGGGGGCGAGCGUUGUCCGGAGUUACUGGGCGUAAAGCGCUUGUAGGCGGUCCACCAAGUUUGGGGUGACAGUUGCCGACUUAAUCGGCAAAGUGCCUCAAAGACUGGCGGACUUGAGGGCCACAGAGGGACAUGGAACUCCAGGUGUAGUGGUGAAAUGCGUAGAUAUCUGGAAGAACACCAAAGGCGAAGGCAGUGUCCUGGGUGGUACCUGACGCUGAGAGGCGAAAGCCAGGGGAGCGAACGGG
rnacentral:rRNA from 1 species